UACGGAGGGUGCGAGCGUUGUCCGGAAUCAUUGGGCGUAAAGGGCGCGUAGGUGGCCCGGUCAGUCGUUUGGUGAAAGCGCGGGGCUCAACCCUGCGUCGGCCAGGGAUACUGCCGCGGCUGGAGCACUGUAGAGGCAGGCGGAAUUCCGGGUGUAGCGGUGGAAUGCGGUAGAUAUCAGGAGGAACACCGGUGGCGAAGGCGGGUCUCUGGGCCGAUACUGACGCUGAGGCACGAAAGCGUGGGGAGCAAACAGG
rnacentral:rRNA from 1 species